rnacentral:rRNA from 1 species
UACGAAGGGGCUAGCGUUGCUCGGAGUCACUGGGCGUAAAGGGUGCGUAGGCGGGUCUUAAGUCAGGGGUGAAAUCCUGGAGCUCAACUCCAGAACUGCCUUUGAUACUGAAGAUCUUGAGUCCGGGAGAGGUGAGUGGAACUGCGAGUGUAGAGGUGAAAUUCGUAGAUAUUCGCAAGAACACCAGUGGCGAAGGCGGACUCACUGGCCCGGUAC